AUCUGACACCUAAGCUCUGGAGAAAUGGGGAAGCAGGACCUGGUAAGGGCUUCACUCGGGCUGAAAUCUUUGCUUCACUACUGGCUGGCUGGCGCCCUGAGGUCUAACCUUUGACUGACAUGAAGACAUAUGUGCUGCCUACAUUCGGAGAACAUAGGGAGGAGGGCAUGUCCUGCUAAUAAGCUGCUCACCAGACCCAGUUAGAGAUGACUUCUUCUUGAAGACCCUCUCAGACAAAGGAGCCCCUGACUUGCUGUCAACUGCUGAAUGUAUCCACAUGGCCCCGGGCUUCCCUAAGCGGCACU